CCUACGGGUGGCUGCAGUGAGGAAUAUUGGUCAAUGGACGAGAGUCUGAACCAGUCAAGUAGCGUGAAGGAUGACUGCCCUAUGGGUUGUAAACUUCUUUUAUAUGGGAAUAAAACGUUCCACGUGUGGGAUUUUGUAUGUACCAUAUGAAUAAGGAUCGGCUAACUCCGUGCCAGCAGCCGCGGUAAUACGGAGGAUCCGAGCGUUAUCCAGAUUUAUUGGGUUUAAAGGGAGCGUAGGUGGAUUGUUAAGUCAGUUGUGAAAGUUUGCGGCUCAACCGUAAAAUUGCAGUUGAAACUGGCAGUCUUGAGUACAGUAGAGGUGGGCGGAAUUCGUGGUGUAGCGGUGAAAUGCUUAGAUAUCACGAAGAACUCCGAUUGCGAAGGCAGUUCACUGAACUGCAACUGACACUGAGGCUCGAAAGUGUGGGUAUCAAACAGGAUUAGAUACCCGUGUAGUC
rnacentral:rRNA from 1 species